rnacentral:rRNA from 1 species
GAUGAACGCUGGCGGCGUGCCUAAUACAUGCAAGUCGAGCGAACGGACGAGAAGCUUGCUUCUCUGAUGUUAGCGGCGGACGGGUGAGUAACACGUGGAUAACCUACCUAUAAGGCUGGGAUAACUUCGGGAAACCGGAGCUAAUACCGGAUAAUAUUUUGAACCGCAUGGUUCAAAAGUGAAAGACGGUCUUGCUGUCACUUAUAGAUGGAUCCGCGCUGCAUUAGCUAGUUGGUAAGGUAACGGCUUACCAAGGCAACGAUGCAUAGCCGACCUGAGAGGGUGAUCGGCCACACUGGAACUGAGACACGGUCCAGACUCCUACGGGAGGCAGCAGUAGGGAAUCUUCCGCAAUGGGCGAAAGCCUGACGGAGCAACGCCGCGUGAGUGAUGAAGGUCUUCGGAUCGUAAAACUCUGUUAUUAGGGAAGAACAUAUGUGUAAGUAACUGUGCACAUCUUGACGGUACCUAAGCAGAAAGCCACGGCUAACUACGU